GGCUCCUCCGGCGCAUGCGCAGUCCGGGGAGCAGCGUGGCGGAGGGCGAGACCUGGGCUGCUGGUGGGAUGGUGCAGAGGCACGUCCAGCCCUCUGGCUGGCGCGGGUAGCGGGACGGGAAGCCUCAAAGCGCCCGGUCUGCUGGAGACGAGGCCGGUCGGGGCAGCUCCACGUCGUUCUCCGGGAGCGGACUGAAGGGAAAAGCGGAAGGAGGCAGACAGACCCUCAGACGCAGAGACCAUGCACCUCCUCGGCUCGCGGGAGCUGCUCCUGAGCCCCCGCCGGCCUCAUUCUCCCCGUGCAGCAGCCCCCAGUCCAGCACCUCCUCUGAAGCCUGUCCCGUAGCCCCAAGUCACCUCCAAGCCCUGUCUUGCAGGCGGCAAGCUGACCCUCAAGUGUGCCAUUCGCAGGGAGAAAGUGACAUCUCCAGAAGCCUCUGUGGAAUGAGGGUCUCCGGCCAGGGGCGACCUACAGUAAUAACGGUUGCUGCUGCUUCUUUCCCUCUCCCAGAGGCCAUGCUGAGGAUGUGGUUGGUUGUUGCUCCCCUGGGGAUGCCAUUGACUGCACCCACCUUGGAGCAGCAGGUCUGCAGUCAAGGACUCUCCCUUCAGGUUGGGAUGCUGCCUCAGGCAACUCCCUGAUGUGUAGUAUUUGAUUCCACUUGGCAUCUAAAACCUGUAAUCUACUAAUGUUGUUGGAGUAUUAAAUUGGUUUUUAUUAGAAUAAAUUUCCUUUGGGGCUUGUAAUCUGGGACUAAGAGUGGAUCCAGCCGCAGCUAAAUUCCCCUCUGAGAAGGAGUUUAGAAAGGAAAGGGGUCCUCUCUGAACCUCAUGAUUCAACAGGAAGGUCACCCUGGCAGUUCUAUCAAACCCUGUCCUGUAUGCAGUAAAUAAUCAAGUGAACUUCGCCAUCACUCACAAUUACCACUGCAUUUAUCUCAAUAAGGCUCCUUCAAUGACAAUGUUUGCAGCAGUGAUCUGGAGUGGUGUGAAUUCACUUCAUCAGAAUUAAGGGCAAGAAGUGAGUUCCUCAGAGGUUCAGUGCCUCAUGGUGAAUUACACUGAAGAGUUCCGACAUCCUUCUGAAGGCUUCCUGCAGGAAAGAUGACAUUUCAAACCUAUAUGUUACCUGAACCUUGAGCACAUCUUGUCUGCUAUUGAAAUAUAUGACCCAAAAGUGCUUCCUUCUGAAUUAGGCACUCAUCAUGCAUUUCAACCUCCUUUGAGAAAAUUAUGCAAGCCUCUGAGUUGCCUGCAUAAGUUAUCUUUUAUUCAUUAGAAUCCUAAAUGUUAUUGACAUGCAUUCUUAAUUAUUCCCUGCUGAAAACAGUAGUGUUCUUGAACAAGUAUUUUGCAUUUGUUAUGCCCUGCUGCUGGCAUAGUUACUAAUGUAUAUAAUAAUAAAAUAAGAGACUAUCAGAGCAGAAUAAGAAAACUUAUUAAUAUGAUUCAAUUUAAGAAAAUUGUUACUUCUGGCUUUCACAGCCUAUGAACAACAUUGAAUACUUCAAGCAUACAGAAUCUUUGCUAUAUGUCUAGCAUGGAAAUAACAACAUUGCCAAAAGAGAAGCUGGUAAGAUAUCACCUGCUAUCCCCACAUUCAUACCCUCUGAAAUCACUUACUGUACUAGUACUUUACUUAAUGGAACUCAUGUUGCCAAAAGCUUUCAAAAGCAGACUUUGACACAUUUCUGGAAUUAAUGCUUGUUUAUUCAAACAGAAAAUCACAAUCCCUAAAAAUAAUUUCUUUGCUUCAGUGUUUCCCCUGUCUUUCCUCUUUUUCCAUCACUUUCCCUCUGCGCACACACACAUACUUUUUAUUUGCUGCUCUCUGUAUGGGAAGCCAAAAGGUUUCUAAAAAUUCAAAAUUUGGUUCUGAAAAACUGUACAAUAUUCAAGGUCACUCCCUGAUAGGAAAUAUAGAAGCAGUAAAAA
ensembl:lncRNA